UCAAACUAAUACGCAUGACGUUAUAUAUUAUCUGACAAUGUACAUAAAUAAAAAAUAUGCAUGUUUCCAAGGAAGUUAGUCUCCUAGGAGACUAAUAGCUGUGGAAUUGUAAAAAAUUCCACAGUUGUGGAAUUGUAAAAAAAAAACAGAUUGUGUGAAAAAUCACGUUAUGAAUGGUGCUAUACUUUAUCUGUUGAUAUGUGCCAUACAAGAAGAAUUUCGUAAUGUAGGACAUAACCUUAAAACAUUUGUUAACCAGAACUUAAACCAAAAUUCAGAAAUGUUGUAAAUAAUGUAAAACGAUACUAGAAAAUGUAAAAACGUAUAUAGAAAUGGUAACAGUAGAAGUUUAUAAGUUGCAAAAAAAAAAGAAAACAUGAAAAUCAUUCAAUUGCAAAACUAGAGCUUACUCACAGAUCACAUGUAUCUCAUGUUCUGCUGUGUCAGUGACAUUGUAUCAGACUGUUCUAUAGUUACGCGUUCGCACACCCUGCAAAGAUUACACAAGAUCGUGUUCUUUUCUUCUUUCUUCGUCUCCUAUUUUGUAGAAACUGAUAAUUUCUCUGCCAAAAAAAAAA